UAGGGAAUCUUCGGCAAUGGGGGCAACCCUGACCGAGCAACGCCGCAUGAGUGAAGAAGGUUUUCGGAUCGUAAAGCUCUGUUGUAAGAGAAGAACGUGUGUGAGAGUGGAAAGUUCACACAGUGACGGUAACUUACCAGAAAGGGACGGCUAACUACGUGCCAGCAGCCGCGGUAAUACGUAGGUCCCGAGCGUUGUCCGGAUUUAUUGGGCGUAAAGCGAGCGCAGGCGGUUUAAUAAGUCUGAAGUUAAAGGCAGUGGCUUAACCAUUGUUCGCUUUGGAAACUGUUAAACUUGAGUGCAGAAGGGGAGAGUGGAAUUCCAUGUGUAGCGGUGAAAUGCGUAGAUAUAUGGAGGAACACCGGUGGCGAAAGCGGCUCUCUGGUCUGUAACUGACGCUGAGGCUCGAAAGCGUGGGGAGCAAACAGG
rnacentral:rRNA from 1 species